GAUGAACGCUGGCGGCGUGCCUAAUACAUGCCAGUCGAGCGAACAGAUGAGGAGCUUGCUCCUCUGACGUUAGCGGCGGACGGGUGAGUAACACGUGGAUAACCUACCUAUAAGACUGGGAUAACUUCGGGAAACCGGAGCUAAUACCGGAUAAUUUAUUGAACCGCAUGGUUCAAUAGUGAAAGACGGUUUUGCUGUCACUUAUAGAUGGAUCCGCGCCGCAUUAGCUAGUUGAUAAGGUAACGGCUUACCAAGGCAACGAUGCGUAGCCGACCUGAGAGGGUGAUCGGCCACACUGGAACUGAGACACGGUCCAGACUCCUACGGGAGGCAGCAGUAGGGAAUCUUCCGCAAUGGGCGAAAGCCUGACGGAGCAACGCCGCGUGAGUGAUGAAGGUCUUCGGAUCGUAAAACUCUGUUAUUAGGGAAGAACAAAUGUGUAAGUAACUAUGCACGUCUUGACGGUACCUAAUCAGAAAGCCACGGCUAACUACGUG
rnacentral:rRNA from 1 species